UGGGGAAUAUUGCACAAUGGGCGCAAGCCUGAUGCAGCCAUGCCGCGUGUAUGAAGAAGGCCUUCGGGUUGUAAAGUACUUUCAGCGGGGAGGAAGGGAGUAAAGUUAAUACCUUUGCUCAUUGACGUUACCCGCAGAAGAAGCACCGGCUAACUCCGUACCAGCAGCCGCGGUAAUACGGAGGGUGCAAGCGUUAAUCGGAAUUACUGGGCGUAAAGCGCACGCAGGCGGUUUGUUAAGUCAGAUGUGAAAUCCCCGGGCUCAACCUGGGAACUGCAUCUGAUACUGGCAAGCUUGAGUCUCGUAGAGGGGGGUAGAAUUCCAGGUGUAGCGGUGAAAUGCGUAGAGAUCUGGAGGAAUACCGGUGGCGAAGGCGGCCCCCUGGACGAAGACUGACACUCAGGUGCGAAAGCGUGGGGAGCAAACAGG
rnacentral:rRNA from 1 species